UUUUUUUGAUUUUUUUCGUGCCGAUUUCAGACGAUUUAUGAUCCAUUUAUUAAGUUCUUUAUAGUUUAUAUGGUUGUUCAACACGAUUUGGUGAUUUAAAAUUUUGAUUUGGGGAAUUUUAGUUUGUGAUUUGGUGUUUUCAGUUUUCGUUUUGGUUUUUUUUUUCCCCCGAUUUGGUGAAUGCACUUUUCAACAUCACAGUGGUCUGUUUACACUACAAAUUAUUAUGAGAAAUUUACAUGAAGGUAUCUAAUGGGGUAAGUAAGCAUUACACGAAAAGGAGAAGAAGAAAUAAACUGAUUUGCUGCACAGUAAAGGAAAUAGAAGCUUAUAUUAAUUUUUGGUGCUAUAGCUUUUUGAAACUUACUAAACGUAGUGAAUAAUUUCAUUGGUUUGUUUUAUUGUUUUUUUAAUAUUUAGGACUCUCUAGGUGGAGAUGAGAUUAGACAUGGGGUGAUGACUGAUGAGGACAUGGGGACGACCCAAGUUGUUGGGAAUAACUAGUGUUUUUAUCAAUUCUUUAGUAACUAACGAAUUUAAUCAAUAUUCUAUUAAAUGAUGGAUCAUUAUAUUUAGGAUCAUUUUCCAGAGGAUGUGGAGCUUACUAAUGACAAAGAUAAUGGAGCUGUGGAGAAGUUAGAUUUUAAUGAGGUUGUGAGCAGGGCAGAGGGCGGCAACGGCAGUGACUGUCGUACGUUCCGAUGAGAGAGCGAGGGAGGUGGUGGUUGUGGCAAGGUGUUAACGAGAGGGUUAUUGGUGGUGAGAGAGUCGGCGAGAGCGGGAGGUCCUGCUAGCUGCCGAUUGUUCGGCGAGGGAGGUCGGCCCAACGGUUAUUCCUGCUAUGGGUCGUUGGCCAAGAAAUUGGGGGCAAUGAGCGGGAGUUGGCCGUGGUGAACUUGUCUUUUCAUUCUUGAUUAUUGGCUUGUUUUGAUUGUUGAUUGUUAGUGUUGUGCUGAUUCUCGUGGCAUGGUGUGAACAUAGCAAGGACAAUCCAUUGGGGAUACCGGUCUUCAAACGAGGCACUUCAAAGCCCAACUGGUCGACCCGCAGGUUUGGGAGGAAGAUGAGCACCAACAGUGCUUGAGAUUGUUGCAAGGGAAGGGAACUGAAGUUAUUGUUUUAAGGAGUGGAGAUGUGAACCAUUUUCUGCUCCUCAUCUUCUUCAAUAUAGAAUUUCGUUUUCUGUAUAUAAUUCUUUCUUUUUUAUUAUUCCUUAAGUAAUUUGAUGUAUUCAUCCUAUGAGCAAAAACAGCCGCUACUGGAGCUAGUUGCUUUUCGUUCUCUUCUUAUGCUAUUUAUGAGCUAAGAGUUUGGCAGCUAUUUGAGCUAGGAGUUCCUGCCGCUCAUGUAUGAACGAAAAAGGAGUCCAUUGGUUUCCUAUUUGUUA